CCCCAGCUGCGGGACCUGCUAUGAUUUCAUACAGAUCUGUAGACAGCCAUAGGUACCCGCGCGCAGUCCUCGCAGGCACACUGUCAAGGUCUGUCACGGCCUGUUUCCUGAUCUUAGAGCGCCCCCUGUGGAAAGGACGGUCCUACUGCCCUGGCUGCACACGCUUCCUGCCCACCUGGAGCACAUCUCAGCGCUUGUGAGCCUGAGACCACUGCACCAGUUCCUCUGUCUCCAUGCUGAGCUGCCUUCCGAUCCUUGGUCUGGCUUCUGGUUGGCCGCCCCAGAGCCAAUUCCGCUUUGAAUAUUAGGGAGGGCUCGGAAGAGGUGUCUGUGCGUGUCCUCCCAGAUAGCACCUUGGGGUGUCUGGAGAAGAGGGAGAGAAGCAAGCUCUGAUUCCAUAAUGCCAUGAUGAAGGAA